rnacentral:rRNA from 1 species
AGAGUUUGAUCCUGGCUCAGGACGAACGCUGGCGGCGUGCUUAACACAUGCAAGUCGAACGGAAAGGCCUCUUUCGGGGGUACUCGAGUGGCGAACGGGUGAGUAACACGUGAGUAACCUGCCCUUGACUUUGGGAUAACUUCAGGAAACUGGGGCUAAUACCGGGAUAGGAGCUCCUGCUGCAUGGUGGGGGUUGGAAAGUUUCGGCGGUUGGGGAUGGACUCGCGGCUUAUCAGCUUGUUGGUGGGGUAGUGGCUUACCAAGGCUUUGACGGGUAGCCGGCCUGAGAGGGUGACCGGCCACAUUGGGACUGAGAUACGGCUCAGACUCCUACGGGAGGCAGCAGUGGGGAAUAUUGCACAAUGGGUGGAAGCCUGAUGCAGCAACGCCGUGUGCGGGAUGACGGCCUUCGGGUUGUAAACCGCUUUCGCUCAUGACGAAGCUUUGUGUGACGGUAGUGGGUAAAGAAGCACCGGCUAACUACGUG